UUAAGUUCAGCGGGUAGUCCUACCUGAUCCGAGGUCAACCUUGUGGCAUGCGUCCAGCGGACGCGGUUUCACGGCAGGGCCGCCGGCCGUCCAGAGCGUUGCAAAGAGUACUGCGCUCGGAGCCAGCCAGGCGGUCCCGCCACUCGCUUUCAGGGCCUCUCGUCGCUGAGAGGGCCCCAACACCACGCGGCGCGUGAGGG
rnacentral:misc_RNA from 1 species